rnacentral:rRNA from 1 species
UACAGAGGUCCCAAGCGUUGUUCGGAUUCAUUGGGCGUAAAGGGUGCGUAGGUGGCGGGGUAAGUCGGAUGUGAAAUCUCGGGGCUCAACCUCGAGACUGCAUUCGAUACUGCCUUGCUAGAGUACUGGAGAGGAGAUCGGAAUUUACGGUGUAGCAGUGAAAUGCGUAGAUAUCGGAAGGAAGACCAGUGGCGAAGGCGGCUCUCUGGACAGGUACUGACGCUGAGGCGCGAAGGCGUGGGGAGCAAACGGG